rnacentral:rRNA from 1 species
GGGGCAGGUCACAAUGCAGUCGAGCGGUAACAGGGGAACUUGCUUCUCGCUGACGAGCGGCGGACGGGUGAGUAAUGUAUGGGGAUCUGCCCGAUAGAGGGGGAUAACUACUGGAAACGGUAGCUAAUACCGCAUAAUCUCUCAGGAGCAAAGCAGGGGAACUUCGGUCCUUGCGCUAUCGGAUGAACCCAUAUGGGAUUAGCUAGUAGGUGGGGUAAUGGCUCACCUAGGCGACGAUCCCUAGCUGGUCUGAGAGGAUGAUCAGCCACACUGGGACUGAGACACGGCCCAGACUCCUACGGGAGGCAGCAGUGGGGAAUAUUGCACAAUGGGCGCAAGCCUGAUGCAGCCAUGCCGCGUGUAUAAAGAAGGCCCUAGGGUUGUAAAGUACUUUCAGUCGGGAGGAAGGCGUUGAUGCUAAUAUCAUCAACGAUUGAGGUUACCCACAGAAGAAGCACCGGCUAACUCCGUGCCAGCAGCCGCGGUAAUACGGAGGGUGCAAGCGUUAAUCGCAAUUACUGGGCGUAAAGCGCACGCGGGCGGUUGAUAAAGUUAGAUGUGAAAUCCCCGGGCUUAACCUGGGAGUGGCAUCUAAGACUGUGCAGCUAGAGUCUUUGUAGAGGGGGGUAGAAAUUCUAUGUGUAGCGCUGAAAUGCGUAGAGAUGUGGAGAAAUACCGGUGGCGAAGGCGGCCCCCUGUACAAAGACUGACGCUCAGAUGCGAAAGCGUGGGGAGCAACAGGAUAGAUCGCUGGU